rnacentral:ribozyme from 1 species
CUACGGACUUAAUUGGAUUGAGCCUUGGUGUGGAAACCUACUAAGUGAUAACUUUCAAAUUCAAAGAAACCCUGGAAUGAAAAAUGGGCAAUCCUGAGCCAAAUCCUAUUAUUUUAUUAUUUUACGAAAAUAAACAUGAACAAAGGUUCAGCAAGCGAGA